rnacentral:tRNA from 1 species
GCCCUCAUAGUUUAGUGGAUAAAGCGUCAGCUUCCGGAGCUGAAGACCAGAGGUUCGAAUCCUCUUGAGGGCA